GACGAACGCUGGCGGCGUGCUUAACACAUGCAAGUCGAACGGUGAAGCACCUUCCUUUUGGUGGGUGCGGAUGAGUGGCGAACGGGUGAGUAACGCGUGAGUAACCUGCCCCCUUCUUCUGGAUAACCGCAUGAAAGGGUGGCUAAUACGGGAUAUUCUGGGUCUGUCGCAUGGCGGGCCUGGGAACGAUAUUGUUUCGGUGGGGGAUGGGCUCGCGGUCGAUUAGCUUGUUGGUGGGGUGAUGGCCUACCAAGGCGACGAUGGGUAGCCGGCCGGAGAGGAGGAUCGGCCGCACCAGAGCGGAGGCACGGUCGAGAAGACUCCUGCGGGAGGCAGUAGGGAAUAAUACUGAACGGGGGGAAGAAGGAUGAAGCAGCGCCGCGGGGUGGAGGAUGGACGUCGGAUGGUAAAAAACCUCUUGCGGGAGUGAAGCAAGCCUGUCGCAUUUGUGGGUGGGUUGACGGUACCUGGAUAAGAAGCGCCGGCUAACUACGUG
rnacentral:rRNA from 1 species